GAUACCCUAUUAUUUUAAGUGUGAGUUUUGCCUUGAUUAUUAUUAGUUAAGUUCUUUAAAAUUAAAAAAUUUGGCGGUAUUUUAGUCUGUUCAGAGGAACCUGUCUUUUGAUCGAUAGUCCACGAUAAUUUGUACUUUUGUUUUUAAUUUAUAUAUCGUCGUUUUUAAAAAUUUUUGGAGAAUUAGAAUUUUUAGGAUUUUUGAUGUAAAGGUAUUUCAGAUCAAGGUGUAGUAUAUAUAAAAGUUAGGAUGGGUUACAUUGAUGUUAUUUUUGGUUCUUUGGUUUAAAACUUUAGUUAAAUUGGAUUUGAUAGUAAAAUUUUUGUUUAUGAUUUUUGAUUUAGCUCUAAAAUAUGCACACAUCGCC
rnacentral:rRNA from 1 species